GCCAAUUUGUCCCACAUGGAACAUGAUUAUAUCUCAUUGAGGAUGUUGAUCAGUUCACAUCCAACCACCCUGCUGGGCUAAGGUUUAACCUUAGGACCAGCAUAUAUUAACAUUACCUCUUACCCCAUCUUACAAAAGCCUACAAGUUAAAAAAAUAAUAAUAAAAAUGAGCGGGAAAAAGGAGAAAUCUUAAAUAGACAUUGUUCUCCCAUAUUCGCUUCUUACUCUUGGCUGGCAGCAUUAUCCAUGUAUACAUGACAUCAUAGCGGACUAAACUAACCUAUCUACUCCAAAGCUUCUUCUUCCGCACUAGCAUGGAUUCCAUGUUGGCAUUUUUCAGUUAUGAGAAAUAGGCUGAAGAGAAGAUGCUGUGCAAAGUACGAAGCUAUUGAAAAGGAAAAUCACAAAAGCCAUUGUACUCUUAAAUGCCAUCAUUUUCUCUGUAUCAAGUAUCUGCAAUGCAUGUCACACAACUGGGAUUGGAAUGUUGUCAUUGUUAUUAUUGUGAUGCAUU
rnacentral:misc_RNA from 1 species